GGAUGGAUGAGCAACUUGCUCUGUAUCCACAUAUGAAGUUUAAUGAGAUUGAUAUGGUCUUCUUCCCCAUAAAUGCGUUUGAGCAUUUCUACAUUGUGUGCUAUGGGCUAAAGAAUCCAAGUAUGGAGCUGAUUGACAAUAGCAAAAACUGCCCAGACUACAAGGAAAAAUACCAAGGUCGUCCUGAGGGUUUGCACCAGAAUUUUGUGAGAUAUUUGGC